AGCGAACGCUGGCGGCAGGCUUAACACAUGCAAGUCGAGCGGGCAUCCUUGUGGUGUCAGCGGCAGACGGGUGAGUAACGCGUGGGAACGUGCCCUUCGGUUCGGAAUAACUCAGGGAAACUUGAGCUAAUACCGGAUACGUGCGAGAGCAGAAAGGUUUAUCUGCCGAAGGAUCGGCCCGCGUCUGAUUAGCUAGUUGGUGGGGUUAUGGCUCACCAAGGCGACGAUCAGUAGCUGGUCUGAGAGGAUGAUCAGCCACACUGGGACUGAGACACGGCCCAGACUCCUACGGGAGGCAGCAGUGGGGAAUAUUGGACAAUGGGGGCAACCCUGAUCCAGCCAUGCCGCGUGAGUGAUGACGGCCUUAGGGUUGUAAAGCUCUUUUCUCCGGGACGAUAAUGACGGUACCGGAGGAAUAAGCCCCGGCUAACUUCGUG
rnacentral:rRNA from 1 species